UACGAAGGGUGCUAGCGUUGUUCGGAAUGACUGGGCGUAAAGGGUGUGUAGGCGGUUAUACGCGUCAGAUGUGAAAUCCCUGGGCUUAACCUGGGAAUGGCAUUUGAUACGGUAUGACUAGAGAUUGGUAGAGGGUAGUGGAAUUGCGAGUGUAGAGGUGAAAUUCGUAGAGAUUCGCAGGAACAUCGGUGGCGAAGGCGGCUACCUGGGCCAACACUGACGCUGAGGCACGAAAGCGUGGGGAGCAAACAGG
rnacentral:rRNA from 1 species